AGUAACGCGUGGGGAACCUGCCCUAUACAGGGGGAUAACAGCUGGAAACGGUUGCUAAUACCGCAUAAGCGCACAGAAUCGCAUGAUUCAGUGUGAAAAGCCCUGGCAGUAUAGGAUGGUCCCGCGUCUGAUUAGCUGGUUGGUGAGGUAACGGCUCACCAAGGCGACGAUCAGUAGCCGGCUUGAGAGAGUGAACGGCCACAUUGGGACUGAGACACGGCCCAA
rnacentral:rRNA from 1 species